UUUCCGUAGGUGAACCUGCGGAAGGAUCAUUCAUAAUAAGUGUUUUAUGGCACUUUUUUAAAUCCAUAUCCACCUUGUGUGCAAUGUCAGGGUUGAUUUUUCUCUCGAGAGGAUCAACCCCAAACAUCAACUAUAUCUCAACUUUUUGUCUGAAAAAUAUUAUGAAUAAAACAAUUCAAAAUACAACUUUCAACAACGGAUCUCUUGGCUCUC
rnacentral:misc_RNA from 1 species